GGGUUGUGAGGUUAAGCGACUAAGCGUACACGGUGGAUGCCCUGGCAGUCAGAGGCGAUGAAGGACGUGCUAAUCUGCGAUAAGCGUCGGUAAGGUGAUAUGAACCGUUAUAACCGGCGAUUUCCGAAUGGGGAAACCCAGUGUGUUUCGACACACUAUCAUUAACUGAAUCCAUAGGUUAAUGAGGCGAACCGGGGGAACUGAAACAUCUAAGUACCCCGAGGAAAAGAAAUCAACCGAGAUUCCCCCAGUAGCGGCGAGCGAACGGGGAGCAGCCCAGAGCCUGAAUCAGUGUGUGUGUUAGUGGAAGCGUCUGGAAAGGCGCGCGAUACAGGGUGACAGCCCCGUACACAAAAAUGCACAUGCUGUGAGCUCGAUGAGUAGGGCGGGACACGUGGUAUCCUGUCUGAAUAUGGGGGGACCAUCCUCCAAGGCUAAAUACUCCUGACUGACCGAUAGUGAACCAGUACCGUGAGGGAAAGGCGAAAAGAACCCCGGCGAGGGGAGUGAAAAAGAACCUGAAACCGUGUACGUACAAGCAGUGGGAGCACGCUUAGGCGUGUGACUGCGUACCUUUUGUAUAAUGGGUCAGCGACUUAUAUUCUGUAGCAAGGUUAACCGAAUAGGGGAGCCGAAGGGAAACCGAGUCUUAACUGGGCGUUAAGUUGCAGGGUAUAGACCCGAAACCCGGUGAUCUAGCCAUGGGCAGGUUGAAGGUUGGGUAACACUAACUGGAGGACCGAACCGACUAAUGUUGAAAAAUUAGCGGAUGACUUGUGGCUGGGGGUGAAAGGCCAAUCAAACCGGGAGAUAGCUGGUUCUCCCCGAAAGCUAUUUAGGUAGCGCCUCGUGAAUUCAUCUCCGGGGGUAGAGCACUGUUUCGGCAAGGGGGUCAUCCCGACUUACCAACCCGAUGCAAACUGCGAAUACCGGAGAAUGUUAUCACGGGAGACACACGGCGGGUGCUAACGUCCGUCGUGAAGAGGGAAACAACCCAGACCGCCAGCUAAGGUCCCAAAGUCAUGGUUAAGUGGGAAACGAUGUGGGAAGGCCCAGACAGCCAGGAUGUUGGCUUAGAAGCAGCCAUCAUUUAAAGAAAGCGUAAUAGCUCACUGGUCGAGUCGGCCUGCGCGGAAGAUGUAACGGGGCUAAACCAUGCACCGAAGCUGCGGCAGCGACACUGUGUGUUGUUGGGUAGGGGAGCGUUCUGUAAGCCUGUGAAGGUGUACUGUGAGGUAUGCUGGAGGUAUCAGAAGUGCGAAUGCUGACAUAAGUAACGAUAAAGCGGGUGAAAAGCCCGCUCGCCGGAAGACCAAGGGUUCCUGUCCAACGUUAAUCGGGGCAGGGUGAGUCGACCCCUAAGGCGAGGCCGAAAGGCGUAGUCGAUGGGAAACAGGUUAAUAUUCCUGUACUUGGUGUUACUGCGAAGGGGGGACGGAGAAGGCUAUGUUGGCCGGGCGACGGUUGUCCCGGUUUAAGCGUGUAGGCUGGUUUUCCAGGCAAAUCCGGAAAAUCAAGGCUGAGGCGUGAUGACGAGGCACUACGGUGCUGAAGCAACAAAUGCCCUGCUUCCAGGAAAAGCCUCUAAGCAUCAGGUAACAUCAAAUCGUACCCCAAACCGACACAGGUGGUCAGGUAGAGAAUACCAAGGCGCUUGAGAGAACUCGGGUGAAGGAACUAGGCAAAAUGGUGCCGUAACUUCGGGAGAAGGCACGCUGAUA
rnacentral:rRNA from 1 species